GAUGAACGCUAGCUACAGGCUUAAUACAUGCAAGUCGAGGGGAAACGGCAUUAAGUGCUUGCACUUUUUGGACGUCGACCGGCGCACGGGUGAGUAACGCGUAUCCAACCUUCCCAUGACUAAGGGAUAACCUGCCGAAAGGCAGACUAAUACCUUAUGGUCUUCACUGACGGCAUCAGAUGUGAAGUAAAGAUUUAUCGGUUAUGGAUGGGGAUGCGUCUGAUUAGCUUGUUGGCGGGGUAACGGCCCACCAAGGCAACGAUCAGUAGGGGUUCUGAGAGGAAGGUCCCCCAGAUUGGAACUGAGACACGGUCCAAACUCCUACGGGAGGCAGCAGUGAGGAAUACAGGUCAAUGGGCGAGAGCCUGAACCAGCCAAGUAGCGUGCAGGAUGACGGCCCUAGGGGUUGUAAACUGCUUUUGUAUAAGGAUAAAGUCAAUCACGUGUGAUUGUUUGCAGGUACCAUACGAAUAAGGACCGGCUAAUUCCGUG
rnacentral:rRNA from 1 species